rnacentral:misc_RNA from 1 species
GUUGCGAGGUAGUACCACAAAGAAAAAGACCAUCCAUCUAGUAGGACAGGUCACCGAUCUCGAGUGGUAACGGUGUGUGUGUUGUGUCUAUUUCCUCGGCACUCUCGAUGGCACCGAUGGUACCUCAGUAAGUACUUUUCCGCGCUCCGGCGACUACCAUGGGCGAAUUGGAGUCCGCUUGAACAGGUGACAUUCGUAUUUGUUUAUUGUGCAGUGAUUUUCGAUUUUCGGAGUACUCAUGGUUUUGCUUUAUUUAUUUUUCAAAUCAUGUGACAGAAACCGCCAAUCGGACAUGCCUGAGGCAGACAGUCCACUAGGACACUGGCCUCACAGCCUCAGUUCCAUGAUGGCAUGUCUGGGUUGUACCUUGGGUCUCUUCAACAUCUCCCGCUUCUCCAUUCUGACAGUCCAUUUCGGUGCCAACUUCAUCUUCCAGUUCUGUUUCCUCUCGCUGGUUUUCGGCCUUCCCCUGUUCACGCUCCAAUUAUGCCUGGGCCAGCAGCUGGGGGCAGGAGUCAUAGACAUGUGGAGGAUAUCGCCACUUUUUCAAGGGGUUGGAGUGUCGCUGCUUUUGGCCCAGGCGUUGAUGGGACUGUACAGUAUCAUCGGGGUCUCGUGGAUGUUUGUGUUUUUUCGAGAUUCGUUCAUCACGAAAAUGGAUAGAUACCGAUGGGCUGAGCCAUUUAUUUAUUAUAGAAGAGAUAUAGACACAGAAAACUCCACCUUCAAACUCAGCGAGACACUACCAGACUACUUUAACGGGGUGGUCCUACAACGACAUCACUUGCCAUCCGGAACCUCCUAUGGUACCAUCAAAUUCCAACUCGCUUUCAACCUAGCAGUAGUAUGGAUGAUUGUGUUCGUAUCCCUCAGCAAAGGGCUGCGGUCCUACGGAAAAGUCAUUUAUGUGUUUACGUUGCUGCCAGUAUUCGGAACCUUCAUUUUGUGUGCCAAAAUACUAGGUUUAAUGCCACCUGAGUAUGUUAACGUUAUAUUCCCCGAAACUUCGUGGGGGGAAUUUUUUCUAAACCCCAAGAGUUGGUUAGCUGCUAGUCAAGAAGUUUUCCUGACUUGGGGUUUGCUGGGGGCUGCUGUAAUGCAGAUAGCAUCACACAACAGACACAAACAUCUGUUACAAAGAGAUUCUAGUCUUGUCGCUGUAAUAACUUUUACUAUUUUACUAUUAGUUGCUUUUUUGGCCAACACAUGUGUUCAGAUACUCAAGGCGUAUGGAUACACGUAUCUACCUGAUUCUUUUGAGAGUAUGGCUUCUUACACUUUUCUACGUUCUACGAAGGAUGCUCUUCCUCAUAGUCUAUCAAGCACUCCUGUGAGAAAUAUGCCUCAUAAUUCAUUCAACCUUGGUGAAAGAGUUCUGAGGCCAAAUGUGGAUUUUUCCAAAGAAAGCGGGUACAUGGUCUUGAGGCUGGCGACUGAACUGGUACCCGCAACUUUUGCCGUCAUGGGCGCAGACCAAGUUUCUCCGUUUUGGGCGGUCCUUUUCUAUUUCAUUCUUAUAAUGUUUGGAAUCGCCCAGCAACUGGCCAUUUGGCACUGCGUCAUCACCGGAAUAAUGGCUAUAAAAGCUCAAAUUCUUAAAUCGUGGGAGACUACCAUCACGUUCUUCAGCUGUGCUUGCGGAUUCAUACUUGGACUUCCAAUGGCAACAGAGAUGGGCAUUUAUGUCGUUUAUUUCUUCGACUACACUGUUGGAGGCAUCUGGUGGUUGGUGAUAGUAAUCAUAAUUCAAAUAAUGGCGGUGUUUAUGGUACGAGGAAGACCUUAUAGCGGGGAUACCGUUGUGACGGCCUUGUUCUAUCAAAACAACCAUCCCUGUGUAAUGAGUUGGGCGCCGGCGAUGCUGUCGUUCACUUGGAACGUCAUCCUUCCUGUUGCAUUAAUGGUUUUGUGCAUAUCAACAUUCAAAAACGGCAACUUUAGAGACAUGUUCAUCUGGCAUCAUGCUCCGUUAGCAGAAUACUGGCCUCUUUGGGCUCGACAGGUUGGAUCGAUGAUACAGCUUAUACCUAUUCUAUGUAUACCAUUGGUGGCGGUUAUUCAAAGUUAUAGAUAUUUGAAUAACGGAUCUAAUGAUAUUUUAGAACGCAUUCAACUACUUUACCGUCCGCCAAUUGGCGAGCACAUGGAUGACGUAGGACCCCAAGAGGCAGCUGAGGCCAUAAGAAAUGAGAACAACGCCGCCAAUGCAGCUGCGGAAGAUCCUCCACCGAAAUAUACGCCUCCUCCUUCCUACACGACCGCCACUGGUGCCAGGAUUGCCAAGUUUCUGAGGCAGAGUAUUAGGAGAAGUGUUAGGCGGAUAGCCAAUGUUCUAGGUGAAGGAUCUUCUAGACAGCGCACCCCAAUAUCGAACACGAACGGAACGUCCUCCACCACUCCUCUCCCACCCCCAGACUACAACGCAGUGCUAGUCGAGAUGAACAACCCUUCACGUUCAACAGACGUCGCGAUCUCAAUGCCAGACGGACCCGCUACCAGCACCCGUCUGUCAACGCUGGAAAGACUGAGAAACCUGGAGUCGACUUCCACAGCUCUCACAGCAGCGGAAGUUGCUUCGAUCCUGAGGAGCAGCUUCAGAAGAAGCACCGUUCACUCAAGGAACAACUCCAGGAUAACGAACUUCAGCGACAACAUGGCGUCGUUGAGCGCACAGAACUUGAUCGAUUCGGCAGCGCCGAUUGGUGAGAUGUCGUUGGUGAUGGAGAGGUUGCCGAGUAGCGAUUUCGAAGUGAAGCAUACUAACAAUAAUACCUCGUCUGUGAUAUAAAUUAUCUGUAGAUAACGUUACGAAAAGAAAACGGGUUAGUUCAUAGAACAAUUGUGUGCAAUUUUAAGAAAGUACCAGUUUUAGAAUAGGUUUUACUCAAACACCACAUUAAUGGACUGUCUGGGUUUUAAGCUGAAACUGUGAUUUUGUGUGAAGCUCUUUUAAGGUAUCUACCCAGGUAAUUUUCGCAGUAUAAAUUAGACAGGUGAUAAGGUGAAUAUAACAAAUGAGUUGCAUGUUCUAAAAUACUAUCGAUGGACUUUACAUCACGCGCAACUUAACAUCAUUGCCCUAUUCUUACGGUUCCAUAAAAGCUGCAGCAGUCUUAACUUGAAUAGGUAAUCCUCUUUUUCUGGGAUGAGCCCAUUCCGAUUUCCGUUUUCUUUGCAACUUCUGUUCUUUUCUCUCACUUUUCACUUUUUUCCAUCUAUUUCAGUUAACGUCCAUUUCCUUAUAUUUCUGUAUCUUUCUUUUACUUCUUAAAAUUUCACUGAUGAUUAUAAAAGUUUCCUCCAUCGUUUGAUAUUUUAUUUUUUUUCUAUCGUCCUUUUUAAGAUUUUUAGGUAUUUAAUUUUUUUUUUAUUUAAAAAUCCUGUAUAAAAUGUAUAUUUAUUUUAACAGAACCCGUUCGGACUAGAUCACAGAAUGUUUUCAGAAUGAAAAUUCCAUCCUCAGUACUGUUGUAAGGUAUACAUAUUUAAAGCCACUAAAAACAUGAGUUAAAACCCUUUAAAUGUUAUAUUGGUAUGUCUUACAUUGUUGCUGAUAAUUUUAUAGAAUAUUUAAAUUUUAAGGUGAUUCACUUCAUGGCAACGUAAAACUUCCAAUCCUGGCCCGAAAAGAACCUCUCUAAACGAACCUUAGAUAGCAACUGAAGUCUCUGGGUCAGCAACCACGUAGUUGGGAAUUUUACUUUGUCAUGAAGUUAAUCACCUUAAAAUUUAACAUCCUAUAAAAUUAUCAGUAAUACAAGACUACUUUUAUAACAUUUAAAAAGUUUUCACCCAUGUACAUAUGUAGUGACAUGUACAUAUGUAGUGACUAAAUAUGUAUAGCUUGUAGCAGCACUAAAGAUGAAAUUUUCCUUCCGAGAACGUUCAGUAAUGUAGCCCGACGUGGUUAUUUUUUUUAAUAAAUAUACCUUUUCUAAAGGAUUGUUUAACAAAAAAUGAAUAUUAAAUACUCAAAAAUAUUUAUAGAGGACCAAAGAUCUUUAUUUACGAUGGAGGAAGCGAUAACACUCAUGUGAAUUUGAGUGGAACAAUUUAGCCCAUUUUAAUUUUAAAGUAUUUGUUUAAAAUAAAAUAAAUAAAAUUAGAUAAAAUUAUAUUAAAGUAAAUAAAAUAAAAUUAAAAAAAAAUAAAUAAAAUUAAAAAAAUCAAAUAAAAUUAUAUAAAAUUAAAUAAAAAUGAAUCAAAUUACAUAAAAUUAAAUAACAUUAAAAAAAUUAAAUAAAAUUAGAUAAAAUUAAAUAGAAUCGAAUCGGAUCGAAUGGAGUCAAUAACAAAUAUAAAAAAAGAGAUAAAAUUUCAUUACCACAUACAUAUGUGUAGUAAUAACGCGCUAUGUGAAGUAUUCACUUGUGUCGGCACACGUCAAGUGCCACGCUCUUUUUUGCCAUAACUUUGAGUAAAUUAUUGCACUUGAAUUUUUUGUUUAACAUUUAGCGCAUAUUCCAAUUUUAACUGUUAUUAUAGUCACGUCUUAUUUUAUUUUUAUUUUUGUGUUUAAACUAUUGUUGAGUUUUCUGAAUAAAUCUACUUCAUUUUCAUUGAUUCUAUCUCAUAAAUCGAAUUAAAAAUUUUUGUGGCUCUAUUAAAUGAUGAUCUUAGAUUUACAAAUAGACUUUUUAACUGCUACAGAGUAUUAAAAACUGCUAUAAAACUCUUUGAAUAAUACUUAUUGAUCUCAGUUACCGCUGAAACUAUCCAAAUUUUCCCUCCAAACUUUCUUUAGUAAAUCAUCUCCCCUCCUCUCUUCAUCAAAAUCACAAUUUAGCUUUUUGUUAAGUGAUUUUAUAUAAAACAAGUAAUAAUAUUUUUAGAUAAAAUUAGUAACUAAAAUAUAGGAAUGUAUUAAAUUUAUAUUUUAUCACGUACAUAUUGAACAGAAUAACGAAACACAUAAAAAAAAACACAUAAAUAAACAUAAACGAAUUCUGCAAUUUUUGUUAUUCUGCUCAUUGUGUAGGUAUUUUAAUAUCUCUAUGAACUGACCGACUGAUGUAUAUUGUAUGUCUUUACUAUGUAAAGAAUCAAGUCACAUGUAAAAUACAGCCAGAAGCUCUAAUUUAUAUAUUAUAUUUAAUGUUAAGUUUUUGUACAAAGGUAAAACACUGUAAUAUGAUGAUGUAUCUAUCUUCUUGAUGAUAAUGAGCCUAAUUAUUUUUUGUAUUUUAUCUUUUUUUAUAUACGUGGAAAACUACUUUCAAGGACUGAUAUUUUAAUUUCACAUGCCUAGCAAUGUAUGACUUUUCUUUUAUUAAACAAAUCGUUCUUGUUA